CUCCAAUAGCAUCGUAUGCAAGAAGGCAGCUUUUUCAGUGAUGGACCACCCCACUAGAGAGGGUUUAAAAUGAUAUAUACAUCUUCAUUGUCUAAUUAAGUCACAGCAAUGGCUGAGCUGGUGUAGGAUGAAUUUUCAAAUGCAAGACUUUCUUAUACAGCAAGAUAAAACAGAUUGUACUUAGAAGAUGCCACCAAAGAAAUUAACCAUUGUUGGAAGAGAAACUGUGCACGCUAAAACAAAUGGCAGUUAAAAGAAAAAGUGAAGCAUUGGAUGAAAUUGUCUCCAGAUUAGAGAAGGGACAUUCCAAAUAUUCCAAUAGAUCUAAGAACCCAGACAUCACAUGACUUUCAGAAAGAAAGAACAAAGUUCUCUCAGUGUUUAAGGAAAGAUGCGAUAAAAUGGAUGCAUGACUCAAGAACAAGACUGUUACAAACAUCAAUUUUCAAUUUGAUUGUCACAGAUGUCAGCUCUCAACAAUAUGACUAUCACAAACAUCAUCUCUAAAAUCUGAGAAGUCCAGCAUCCUUGUCAUAGAGCAAAUAAACUGUUCAAUAUUACACCACCCACACACGUUUCGCCUGCCAACCACGAUGUUGCUAGAUUGAUCACAUUAUUGACGCCUGUUGAUAAAAUUGAUGCUCCUUGACCUAUCAACCAAUCUCAAACAACGCAAGCGAUCAUAUAGAGGAAAAAAUGAUCAUCGCUCGUCAAAUGAAUCUUCAAUAAGCUUUUAACCUCUUGAACCUCCAAUAGCAUCGUAUGCAAGAAGGCAGCUUUUUCAGUGAUGGACCACCCCACUAGAGAGGGUUUAAAAUGAUAUAUACAUCUUCAUUGUCUAAUUAAGUCACAGCAAUGGCUGAACUGGUGUAGGAUGAAUUUUCAAAUGCAAGACUUUCUUAUACAGCAAGAUAAAAC